rnacentral:misc_RNA from 1 species
UGCUAUAAGAAUAGGAUGAAUAUGGAGAUGGGCUCCUAUCCCUUCGGUUCCUCCUGCUAUACCUAUGCACCACUGGCGAUGGUGAAUGCCUUCGCCUGUAUGAGGGUGACCGCGAUCGCGACAAAUCUCUAGGCAUUUUCUAUAAAUUGACUACACAAAGUAUCUGAGAUCCAGAUGAAUUUUGCUCAAUAUCCAGCUUCAACAGCAAAAAAAAAUUUCGUUCUAUCUCAAAAUAAAUCNAAAUCUCAUCAAAUAUCCAAACUUGACAAGCGACCCACCGUUUCACCAAAUCAAAUUAC